rnacentral:rRNA from 1 species
AACGAGACCUUAACCUGCUAAAUAGCCAGGCUAGCUUUGGCUGGUCGCCGGCUUCUUAGAGGGACUAUCGGCUCAAGCCGAUGGAAGUUUGAGGCAAUAACAGGUUAACCUAUCACAGGCCUGUAAAAGUGGUUUAGACUACUAGUCGAGUAUCGUCACUGUUGAAGAAGCCUUCUUCUACCGGGCAGUGGGGCUCCCAGAGCCUAGAUACCGGCAACAUUACCUGGUACAGAAAAUGCCUCC